rnacentral:rRNA from 1 species
UGGGGAAUAUUGGACAAUGGGCGAAAGCCUGAUCCAGCAAUGCCGCGUGAGUGAUGAAGGCCCUAGGGUUGUAAAGCUCUUUUACCAGGGAUGAUAAUGACAGUACCUGGAGAAUAAGCUCCGGCUAACUCCGUGCCAGCAGCCGCGGUAAUACGGAGGGAGCUAGCGUUGUUCGGAAUUACUGGGCGUAAAGCGUACGUAGGCGGUUAUUCAAGUCAGAGGUGAAAGCCCGGGGCUCAACCCCGGAACGGCCUUUGAAACUAGGUAGCUAGAAUCUUGGAGAGGUCAGUGGAAUUCCGAGUGUAGAGGUGAAAUUCGUAGAUAUUCGGAAGAACACCAGUGGCGAAGGCGACUGACUGGACAAGUAUUGACGCUGAGGCGCGAAAGCGUGGGGAGCAAACAGGAUUAGAUACCCUGGUAGUCCCUG